GGUCCUCACCGAGGCUCGGAACCAAUUAACGAUUAGCAAUUUACCAUUAGCAAUAUAUUAGCAAUUAUCCAUUAGCGAUUUCAUCGCAGUCAUGGCUAAUCGCGAAUCGCUAAUGCAUCGAUAAUUGCUACAUGCUAAUUGAUAAUUUCCGAACUUCAGUGAGGAUACUCGAGCGGCGGACGGCUGAGUAACGCGUAGGAACGUACCCCAAAGUGAGGGAUAAGCACCAGAAAUGGUGUCUAAUACCGCAUGUGGUCUUCGGAUUAAAGCUUCGGCGCUUUGGGAGCGGCCUGCGUAUGAUUAGCUUGUUGGUGAGGUAAUGGCUCACCAAGGCGACGAUCAUUAGCUGGUCUGAGAGGAUGAUCAGCCAGACUGGGACUGAGAACGGCCCAGACUCCUACGGGAGGCAGCAGUAGGGAAUUUUCCACAAUGGGCGAAAGCCUGAUGGAGCAACGCCGCGUGCAGGAUGAAUGCCUUCGGGUUGUAAACUGCUUUUAUCUGUGACGAUUAUGACGGUAGCAGAUGAAUAAGGAUCGGCUAACUCCGUGCCAGCAGCCGCGGUCAUACGGAGGAUCCAAGCGUUAUCCGGGAUUACUGGGCGUAAAGAGUUGCGUAGGUGGCAUUGCAAGUCGGUAGUGAAAGCGUCUCGCUCAACGAGAUAUACAUUAUCGAAACUGCAAAGCUAGAGGACGAGAGAGGUUAUUGGAAUUCCUAGUGUAGGGGUAAAAUCCGUUGAUAUUAGGAGGAACACCGAUGGCGUAGGCAGAUAACUGGCUCGUUUCUGACACUCAGGCACGAAAGCGU
rnacentral:rRNA from 1 species